AGCGAACGCUGGCGGCAGGCCUAACACAUGCAAGUCGAACGCCCCUUCGGGGGAGUGGCGGACGGGUGAGUAACGCGUGGGAACGUGCCCUUUGGUACGGAACAACUGAGGGAAACUUCAGCUAAUACCGUAUGUGCCCCCAUUCUUAGCGGGAUGGGUGGGAAAGAUUUAUCGCCAUUGGAGCGGCCCGCGUUAGAUUAGCUAGUUGGUAGGGUAAUGGCCUACCAAGGCGACGAUCUAUAGCUGGUCUGAGAGGAUGAUCAGCCACACUGGGACUGAGACACGGCCCAGACUCCUACGGGAGGCAGCAGUGGGGAAUCUUAGACAAUGGGGGCGAACCCUGAUCUAGCCAUGCCGCGUGAGUGAUGAAGGCCCUAGGGUUGUAAAGCUCUUUCAGCUGGGAAGAUAAUGACGGUACCAGCAGAAGAAGCCCCGGCUAACUCCGUGCCAGCAGCCGCGGU
rnacentral:rRNA from 1 species